rnacentral:rRNA from 1 species
AUUGAACGCUGGCGGCGUGUCUUAAGCAUGCAAGUCGUGCGGCAAGGCGGGGCAACCUGCCCUAGAGCGGCGGACUGGUGAGUAACGCGUGGGUGAUCUGCCCUUGGGAUGGGGAUAGCCUCUAGAAAUAGAGGGUAAUACCGAAUACGUUCGGCGGGGUAAGCCCGUCGAGGAAAAGCGCUUCGGCGCUGCCCGAGGAUGAGCCCGCGUCCCAUUAGCUAGUUGGUGAGGUAACGGCCCACCAAGGCUAUGAUGGGUAGCCGGCCUGAGAGGGUGUACGGCCACACUGGGACUGAGAUACGGCCCAGACUCCUACGGGAGGCAGCAGCUAAGAAUAUUCCGCAAUGGACGAAAGUCUGACGGAGCGACGCCGCGUGGAUGACGAAGGCCGAAAGGUUGUAAAGUCCUUUUGUUGGGGAAGAAUAACCAUGGGAGGGAAUGCCCGUGGGAUGACAUGAACCGACGAAUAAGCCCCGGCUAACUACGUGCCAGCCGCCGCGGUAA